rnacentral:rRNA from 1 species
AUUGAACGCUGGCGGCAGGCCUAACACAUGCAAGUCGAGCGGUAGCACAGGAGAGCUUGCUCUCUGGGUGACGAGCGGCGGACGGGUGAGUAAUGUCUGGGAAACUGCCUGAUGGAGGGGGAUAACUACUGGAAACGGUAGCUAAUACCGCAUGACCUCGCAAGAGCAAAGUGGGGGACCUUCGGGCCUCACGCCAUCGGAUGUGCCCAGAUGGGAUUAGCUAGUAGGUGGGGUAAUGGCUCACCUAGGCGACGAUCCCUAGCUGGUCUGAGAGGAUGACCAGCCACACUGGAACUGAGACACGGUCCAGACUCCUACGGGAGGCAGCAGUGGGGAAUAUUGCACAAUGGGCGCAAGCCUGAUGCAGCCAUGCCGCGUGUGUGAAGAAGGCCUUAGGGUUGUAAAGCACUUUCAGCGAGGAGGAAGGCGYUGUAGUUAAUAGCUGCAGCGAUUGACGUUACUCGCAGAAGAAGCACCGGCUAACUCCGUGC